rnacentral:rRNA from 1 species
GUCCACGCCGUAAACGAUGGGUGCUAGGUGUGGGCGGUGUCGACUCCGUCCGUGCCGAAGCUAACGCAUUAAGCACCCCGCCUGGGGAGUACGGCCGCAAGGCUAAAACUCAAAGGAAUUGACGGGGCCCGCACAAGCAGCGGAGCAUGUGGUUCAAUUCGACGCAACGCGAAGAACCUUACCGAGACUUGACAUGCACUGGAAUGUCGUAGAAAUACGCCAGCCCUUCGGGGCUAGUGCACAGGUGGUGCAUGGCUGUCGU